UGGGGAAUAUUGGACAAUGGGGGCAACCCUGAUCCAGCCAUGCCGCGUGUGUGAAGAAGGCCUUUUGGUUGUAAAGCACUUUAAGCAGGGAGGAGAGGCUAAUGGUUAAUACCCAUUAGAUUAGACGUUACCUGCAGAAUAAGCACCGGCUAACUCUGUGCCAGCAGCCGCGGUAAUACAGAGGGUGCGAGCGUUAAUCGGAAUUACUGGGCGUAAAGCGAGUGUAGGUGGCUCAUUAAGUCACAUGUGAAAUCCCCGGGCUUAACCUGGGAACUGCAUGUGAUACUGGUGGUGCUAGAAUAUGUGAGAGGGAAGUAGAAUUCCAGGUGUAGCGGUGAAAUGCGUAGAGAUCUGGAGGAAUACCGAUGGCGAAGGCAGCUUCCUGGCAUAAUAUUGACACUGAGAUUCGAAAGCGUGGGUAGCAAACAGGAUUAGAUACCCUGGUAGUCCACGCCGUAAACGAUGUCUACUAGCCGUUGGGGUCCUUGAGACUUUAGUGGCGCAGUUAACGCGAUAAGUAGACCGCCUGGGGAGUACGGCCGCAAGGUU
rnacentral:rRNA from 1 species